rnacentral:rRNA from 1 species
GUGAACGCUGGCGGUAGGCCUAACACAUGCAAGUCGCACGGCAGCACAGUAAGAGCUUGCUCUUACGGGUGGCGAGUGGCGGACGGGUGAGGAAUACAUCGGAAUCUACUUUUUCGUGGGGGAUAACGUAGGGAAACUUACGCUAAUACCGCAUACGACCUACGGGUGAAAGCAGGGGAUCUUCGGACCUUGCGCGAUUGAAUGAGCCGAUGUCGGAUUAGCUAGUUGGCGGGGUAAAGGCCCACCAAGGCGACGAUCCGUAGCUGGUCUGAGAGGAUGAUCAGCCACACUGGAACUGAGACACGGUCCAGACCCCUACGGGAGGCAGCAGUGGGGAAUAUUGGACAAUGGGCGCAAGCCUGAUCCAGCCAUACCGCGUGGGUGAAGAAGGCCUUCGGGUUGUAAAGCCCUUUUGUUGGGAAAGAAAAGCAGCAGGUUAAUACCCCGCUGUUCUGACGGUACCCAAAGAAUAAGCACCGGCUAACUUCGUG